CCUGCAAAGACUGGCCGGUGGUGUGGCGUGCUGAGUCUCUGCGUAAUGCAGAAUACGAUGAAACCCAGCCCUGUCUAACUUCGUUUAACUCAACUUAGCCUCAUCUAACGUCCAGUCAUGGAGGAUUCGCUCUGGAAUGCGAUUCUGCUCAAGUAGGAGGAAACCGUGUCCGACUUAGGCCUCCGUUUUGACUCAUCUCAUUGGUCGGCAUAGGAUUUUAGCUUUCGAAGAAAUACCGACCAUGGCAGCAGCGACGGAACAGUGAUCGAACUAGUAUAUCUACGGCUUCAAUUUGUUAAUAAAUGCAAUACAACGGUCUGGCUUUUUGGCUUACGUGUAAGAAGGGAGUCGCCCCUGCUGGGCCUGGGCAGGAUGGUCACACAAACGACGAACCGGGACUACCAGUAAAAGCUGAACCUAGCCACUGCUUGACCGUCGUGCAGCUCUCCGCGUACAAGGUGCGUCUCACAACAUUUGUUUAUACGCGACACAAAUGGAACCAACAGCCAGGACAACAUAGUACGAUACGUGCGGCUGCAUCAAUAUAUUGAAGCGUUUGAAAAUGGAGGUAAAGAAAGUUAAGGUUUCCUAAGGUGAACCCUUAACAG